rnacentral:rRNA from 1 species
AUUGAACGCUGGCGGGGUGCCUAACACAUGCAAGUCGAGCGGCAGCGCGGGAGCAAUCCUGGCGGCGAGCGGCGGACGGGUGAGUAACGCUUGGGAAUCUGCCUAUUAGUGGGGGACAACCCGGGGAAACUCGGGCUAAUACCGCAUACGCACUACGGUGGAAAGCCGGGGACCGCAAGGCCUGGCGCUAACAGAUGAGCCCAAGUCGGAUUAGCUAGUUGGUAGGGUAACGGCCUACCAAGGCGACGAUCCGUAACUGGUCUGAGAGGACGACCAGUCACACCGGAACUGAGACACGGUCCGGACUCCUACGGGAGGCAGCAGUGGGGAAUAUUGGACAAUGGGGGAAACCCUGAUCCAGCGACGCCGCGUGGGUGAAGAAGGCCUGCGGGUUGUAAAGCCCUUUCAGUGGGGAAGAAAAGCCUCGACCUAACACGUCGGGGUCUUGACGUAACCCAUAGAAGAAGCACCGGCUAACUCUGUGCUAGCAGCAGCCGCCGUAAC